UACGGAGGGAGCGAGCGUUGUCCGAAGUUACUGGGCGUAAAGCGUGCGUAGGUGGUUUGUUAAGUCUGUUGUGAAAGCCCCGGGCUCAACCUGGGAAUGGCAAUGGAUACUGGCAAGCUAGAGUGCGGUAGAGGGUAGUGGAAUUCCCGGUGUAGCGGUGAAAUGCGUAGAGAUCGGGAGGAACACCAGUGGCGAAGGCGAGUCCCUGGACACUUCCUGACACUGAGGCACGAAAGCUAGGGGAGCAAACAGG
rnacentral:rRNA from 1 species